rnacentral:rRNA from 1 species
UCCGCCUAUAUCCUAUACUAAAUAUACGUUUAAUAUUACUUAUUGUAACUAACUAACACAUAUAAAUAUCUGCCCUUGAUCUAACAUCUUAACUCCGUUCCAUCUAAAGAUUACCUAAAUAACGGUGUACAUAAACUAAAAAGAAAUAUAGAGUCUUAUCUAUUAAGCGCAAGUUCCUCUAAUUAACGUAAGCCGC